rnacentral:pre_miRNA from 1 species
AAUAAAUCAAGUUUUCACUUUUUAUUUAUAAUUUUUGACUCUUCGUUUUAUUAAAAAAAUUUGCGAUUGAUAUUUUUGUUUUUAUUAGAUGAUAAAUCAUGAAUAGUACUUUACGUGUAACUAAUUUUUUUUCUAAUUUUCUAAAAAAAAUUAAAAUAAGACGAAUGAUGAAAGGUUAGACACAGAAUUCGAAG